AUAAUUAUAAAGAUUCUUAAUUGAAAAAUAACGUUUUUUUAACCUAAAAGAAAAACCGUUUCGUUAAUUUAUUAAAAUCGAUGUUAAUUUUCGAUGUAAAAUGUGUUGUUUUCCAUUGAAGUGAAAAGAUGAACAAAUCUGUUUCUGUUUGAAGCUGGAAGUGUUCAUUUAUGAACUUAAUCUUCUGUGUCUUUCAGUUUGGGUUUUAUAAAUCUAUCAUAAAAAAGGUUCAUGUGAAAGUGAAAGACGACGGUUCAAAGACCGUUUUCAUCCAGAACAUCUCAGCCAGCGAGGCCAGAGAGCUCAGGAAGAUUCUGACAAACAUCGGUUCCCUGAAGAACUUCCUGCCUCUGCUCAACAAGGUACUGCAGCCGCAGAACACGCCUCUGGUUUGUAGAAGUCACAUUUCGUCUGUCUCCUCCUGAAGGUUUGGCUGGAGUUUAAAUCCGUUGGCGGCGCCGACUGUCUGGGCGUUUGGUUCAGCCUCCUCAAUCAUCGUCCGGUUUACAGCAUCUACAGGGUCAAGAUCCCACAGAGCAGCAGCACGCUGUCGCCAUCAGAACUGGCCGCUGAAGCUUUCCCUGGACCGGUCAUCCCAAACGGGAGCAGAGACGUCCCUCGUGGCAGUACGCUGCCCUUUUCGG